UUCCAAUCAAGUAAGCUUGUGUAAAUGGAUUGACUAAAUCACUUCUGCUAUGUAUUGUGCUAGCAGUGGCUCUAUGGAGAACACAAGCUUUGUAGCGAAAAAUCAAGGCAAAAAAUUCAUUGCUUUUGUCAGCAGCUCAAUGCGGUGUUGAGUUCUGGCUUCACACCAAUUUGGAGGAAUAAGUUUAGGUAGUGACACUUAACAGAGUCUGUCAAGGUCAUCAGCCACAGUCAGAGCCUUUCUAGGAAUGGGAUUGGAGGCCUUGUGCUGUUACUGUGUUACAGGCCUACUUAGCAGUAGCUGCUUGGUGGCAGGCUCUGAAAGGAGAGAGAGAAACUUUUUUUUAUAUUUAUAAAUGGGACUCGGUUCUGCUGAAUUCAUUUCAAUAGGCCUGAGAAACAACAAAGUCUGAUGGGCCAGAGGUUCUGGCUGGUUGGGAAUGACAGUUGGGAGUUAACUGUCAGUUAGGAGAGACAGUUGGGGAAAGUCAGUCAAUGAGGGAAUCCAGACAAAGCUAAAGGAAAAGUUGAUGACUAAGGCCUGAAUAUUAAGCUGGUUAUCCCCAGUUUGUUAACAAUACUUUGCUGGUGGAGAUCAGAAUAAUGGAGCCAGCGGCUGACUUAUUUUAAAAGGCUCUCUUAUGAGAAUUACAGGGGCCCCCAGAUAAGCUCAUGUGUUACCUGACAAUUAAGAAGCAAAGAAAAUGGAUAUGAACACCCUGAGAGGUAUAAAAGAGACUAAAAGAGACAGUGACCAAUGUCACUCAGCGUGCUCCUUGAUCGAGUGGGGAUUUGGUCUCUCGGGUUCUCAUCCAACAGACAUCAAUGACUCAAGUGGAAUGCUGAUUGACAGAUGACAUCCCAUGUAUUAUUUGACAGUGACCUGCUUCUGAUAUUUCAUAUUUGACGCCUGCCAAAAUCAUCAAGAGGUGGAGAAAUGUCAUUGGAGGAAUCAUUCCAGCUGACCCUCCACCCUCUGCCUUUGGAAGCCUUACAACACUUGUGAGGAACCUUUGACCCUUCAGAUGUUGCUGGAUUACAAUGCCUGCCAUUCCUCGCCAUUGGACAUGCUUGCUGGGACUGAUGGGAGUUAUAGGUCAGUAACAGCUGGAGGGCGGAAUGUUCCCAGCGCCUGUCUUCCAGGAAACUGUUGCAGGAGAGGGACUGUGAGCAAUGUCAUGGGAUGAACGUCUACCUGAAGGGUAAUGUCAAAGGGACAGCAGCCCUUUGGGAAACCAGGGCCUAGACAUCUGGUCACACUACUGUAGCUUGAUUCUUGGCUGAUUUAUAGCAGACAAAGCAGCAGGGACUGUUAUAUCCAGGACCAAGAUGAAACUGUUCAAGCUCUCUUGCUAUUUUUGCAGCUUCCAGGAGGUCUAAUGCUGCCACAUAUUAUCGCAUUGAAAUGUUAGGGGUUUCAAAUUUUGUUACAUUUGUCGUAUGCUGCUAUUUUACUGUUGCUGUUACUAUGAAAUUAUUCUUGCAGGUUUAUUUUGUGGCACAUUCUUUUUCUCACUAUUGUAAGCCACCUUGAACAUAAUCAUUUGGAUGGAAAAUGCAACAUACAAAUAAAACAACAGUGAUGAUGGUGAGACACCGACAGAUUGGAAGAUCUCAAUUUAUGAAGUGCAAUUUCAGAGUCACCUGGAAAAUUCUAUUUUUGGCUUUGAAAUUCAACAUUCACCAGCUAAAUGGCAAAGCUGAAAAUCCCAGCACAUAGAUCGAUCAGCUGCACUUCAGUAGUCACAGCUUGCUUCUUCCUUUGGAACAAUGCCUGCCAUUAAAGGAUGCACAAAGUCAGGUGAAGGAGGCAAAGAACUUCUUAAGUGAAAAAGACACCUUGCUUCAGGUUCAGAAAAGGCUCUCUGGGAAAAUGGACUGCUGGCUGCCUUCAUGUUAUCUCCCCACAACAAGAACCUCUUCCUGCUUCUGGUGAAGGACUUCCUCCUCCCUCUUCCCACCUACACCUGUGCAGAAUAAACCUUAGUGUGAUGACAGUCUUGCAGAAAUAUAGAUAUAGGAAGAUAUAUAUCCCCCUGUUCUUUCCAUCUCAAUCAACUGUUGUACUGUCAGACUUCUGUAUCUCUUGAUGUUGACUUUCCUUGAACAACAAAUUAUGGCCUCUUCACCUUAUGUCCUUACAGCUUCCUAUAAUGAAUUCUUACAGCAUUACGUUGACAUAGAUUCUUUGCACUGCCUAGCCCCAAUUCCUUUGAGUUCUCUUCCAGAAAUUGUGCUCUGAUUCACUAAAUCUUUAGUGUAAUCAUCCUGCCGAUGCUCUCAAAUAGCAGCACCAAACUGAAAUCCCUUAUUGCUUUGCAUUUCAUCUCUUUAUUUACCCCAUGAGCAAUGCACAAAACACACUUCCUAAUCCUCUCCUUUUAUCCCCUAUGUGCCUUUCUAUGAUACCGCACACAGCAGAAUCUGCAAGGUAAUGUCACUUGUUGACGUGGUUUUAAGUCAGGCUGUGGGGGCAUAGGGGACACACAAGUGAAAAAGAUGCUAAUAGGCCAUGGGCAGGGCAAUGGACCCUGGACAUGAUGCUUGCAAGUAGCCUAUCAAGGAUCCAGUAAGAGGUAUUUGGCCUUUCCAGCUUCUCUGUUCACACUAUACUAAGGCAGAACUAAAACAAUUCCAAAUAUUUUCUGAAUGUUAUUCUUUUUUUUUGACUGCUGCUCAUCCUUAUUUUAACCACCACCACCUCCACCACUUAUUCAGAACUUCUUACAGAGAUGUUCCCAUAUUCAUCUUAAAUAGCUUUCAGAUGCCCUCAUUAGUCUUCAUGGAUGCAGCAUAAUGUAGCCAAAUGUGACUGGCUACAUACCAUUGUGACAUUAUCCCACUCAUUGCAUAGUCCCUGGUAGGAAUUAGUCACCCUUGUAAUUCAUCCAGGAAGGAGGGAAUUUCCACCCCACCAAAAUUGCUACGUAUCUUUGGCUCAGAAAUUCAGACUGGUGAAUAUUCAGCACAGCUCAAGCUGAGACUCUUUCAUCAGAGUCUCCUUUUUUCAUUAAUUGUGCAGCAGUAACAAUUAUGUAAGCAACUGAUUUUUGCUUAAAUCGUUGCAUGUACCGUGGACCUCGUAAACAAGGAUAUGUUUAUAUACUAUGUCCUCCAAGGAGCUGAAGGUAGUGCAUAUGAUUCUCCCUAUUUUACCCCACAACACCCCUGUGUGGUAGGUUAAGCUGAGAGGCAGUGAUUGGCCCAAGGUCACCUAGUGAGCUUCAUGGCUAAGUGGGGAUUCAAAGCCUGGUCUCCCAGGUCCAGCACUUGAAGCACUAGACCACACUGGCUAAAUAUAUGUUCUACUGACUCUAUAAUCUGUUAGUGUAAUUCUGCAAAAAUUGUUGAGGGAAAGGAUUAGCAUGCACAAAGGGUGUUCAAAAUAAAACUAGGGUGUACUAUACUUUACUGCUUUUAACCGAGCAAAUGAGAAUCUAUAAGGGUAAAGCAAAUGACGCAGCUUUCAGUUUUCCUGGAACAGAGGCUGAGUGUGGAUUGCGUGGGCUGGGCUGAAAUGUGCUUGCAUGUAUGCAAUAGGUCAUGCCACCAGCUCUGAUUGCCGUCAGCUUCCACCCCACCAUCCUUGUCACCAAUGCGAAGCUUGCUUCGAUGGUGAAUGGUGCUAAAAUAGCAUCGGCGCUGUUUGUGCCUGUCCCCAAAUGUGUCUGAGGCAUCAUUGUCGGGGAGAUGUCAUUAUCUUGUCAGAUCUGCCUUCUUCCCGAGGUGUUAACAUCGCUCUGGAAGGCUAAAAUUACAGGGUGCAGCACCAGUCAGAAGCCCGUACAAAAGAUGCAAAUGACUUCGUCUUGCAUCCAAAGGGAUUGGCAAGCAAGUUGCUUCUUGUAUUCCCCGGGUGGGGGUGAAGAGUUGAAAAAAUGAGAAUUGAAACUACAUUACUAUUGCUAAUCCAAAAGUAAGAUGCUAUAAUGAUUGGGGUGGAGUAGAGUUUCAAGCCACAGCAUUACCUUACUGUACAUGAAUAAUAACCUAAAAUAUAGGGAGGGAAGGAAGGAAGGAAGGAAGGAAGGAAGGAAGGAAGGAAGGAAGGAAGGAAGGAAGGAAGGAUGGAUGCUGGAUAGUUAAAGGAAGAGUUAUGGUAGGAUCUUGUGGAUCUGACAGAACUAGAGUAGAACCUGGCAUGUAUUGGAUCAGGCCUGGCAAAGCCAAUCUGGUACAAUAAGGCAGAAAAGUAUUUGAGGAGUAUGCAGAUCUGCAUCACUAGUUGUUCCAGAACUCAGCUGUCCUAACUGAGUUAGCAAAAUGAUGCUGUCUGGUUGGCAAAUCUGCAUCCCCCACCCUAUAAAAGCCACAGGUGUUCUCCAACUGCUAGCUAGCUGUUGAGGAGGAGGGGUAGGGAAACUAUAUCAGUGAAUUUGGCUGGCUGCCUCUCUUUAACACUGUGUUGAUAAAGAUUUAAUUGGCAAUUCUUGUCUGUAAUGUAAGAUAAUUGCAGAUAUUCCCAGGAAUUGUUUAUAGGGUGGAAGGAAACAGAUGCAUCUGAGAUGUAUUGGAAGAGUUUAAUUAAAGACUUUAUAAAAGUGCAACAGAUGGCAUCCUUUUUAGCUGAGGGGGCAGGUGGCAGAGGCCUUUGGUGGCAUCUCAGAGUCUUGAAGGAGGGUGUUCUCUUCCCUGCUGAGCUCAUGUGUUCCUUUCAGAAGUCUCUGUUCAGUUGGCACGUGUGUAUUUUGUACUCUCCAGAAUUUUUCACAGAUGAAAAUGGGCAGACUUUUGUGUCAUUGCAAUCAGCCCAUUUUCACAUCAAGCAGCCCAGUUCCAACCUUUUCUUUAUUCUUAUUACUGAAGGAUCUUAUCUUCAUGAUGUAAUUGCAAAAGCUGCUUCUGGACAGGGUUUUAGUGAAAUUGAACAUAGCAUAUCCUUCUGCAUUGUGGAGAUCAGAACAGGGAAACUUCUGUGCAUGGCCUAAGUGCCAUAUCUGAGCUAAUCAGAGCUGAGGAAGGUACCAGAUCAAAUGUGAAGCCUUUUAUAGCCCUUCCUGUCCAAUGGGCAACCGAUGUGGCCAGAGCCAGGCCAGAGCCCCAGAAUUCUUUCAGCUGAGAAGAUGAUCCAAGCUGCAGAUCUUCUAGUUUACUGUAUGGGGUCAGUAUGCAGAAGUUCCCCAUUCUAGCCCAGGCACUUGCUGAUGCUAAGCAUAGAGUCCGCCUGAGUCUGACAGUGCUAAGUCAUGACCUGCUAGCCUGUCCUCAUCCUUUCUACUUUCUGCUCUCUGAUCCUGAUGACUUUUGGUUGUGACUUGCUCAUUGGUUCUGGCCACUGGCCUGUCCUGAGAGCUGCCUCAUCUUAGGUUACUUCCUGUGGCCCAGCCUCAGACCCUCCAGCCAAAGAGUUUGUUGCUGUUAUACCAGUUUGACUGGUAUAAUAUUGACUAGCUGUGUGCCCUUGCAAUAGAGGCUGGUCCAUUAGGGUGAUGUGUUCCACAAAGCUCAGUCAACUCUCACCUGCCUGCAACAAAUCAGGGAAUAGUUCAGCCUAUCACUGGCUCUGUUGGUCUCCUUGCUUUCCACCCUACCAGUGUUAAUGCCCUCCAGCCACCUAUCUGCCCAAACUUUAUAUUCCAUAUCAAUGAUUCCCAAACUAGGCAGUAUUGGCCUCUGGGGGGACACUACCUUGGGGGGUGCCGAGAGGCAGAGGAGCCCUGGAGGUGUCAAUGACUACCGGACUUUGAAAAGCUGGUAUCCCUGGAUAAAGUUUAUCCAUUUUAUUGAACUAAUUAAACUAAAUAGUUUUAAUUUUGAGUAAAUAUACAAUUAAUCAUUACGGUUUUAAAUUUUAUUGUGUUCUUAUCUUCUUUAGUGUGUGGUGCAAACUCCUAUUUGGAAUAAUGCUUUUUAUAAAGUAGAGGGCUCUGGAGAUGAAUAUAUGGAACCAAGGGAGCAGUGGUCCACAAAAGUUUGGGACUCACUAUUCUAUAUGCUACUUUAAUAUACAGGAGUGCAGUCCACCCUUUCCUCUGGCCAUCCUAGCUAGCUCUCUGCCUCCAGUGCAAUUCCAGCAAGCUGGAUGUGCCACGGGGAGCUCACAGGAAGGACAUGAUGAAUGUGCCUACCCUGCCUUAGUCAGAUAUACACUGCUUCUGAACAUGGAGGUUUAAUUGCUGCAGUUGUGGACAAUGAGCGGUAUUCAAUAAAUCUUUGCUCAGGGUAGUCCCAUUGAAAUUGAUCAACAUGGUUACAUUAGGACCAUUUAUUUCAACAGGUUUACUCUGAGUAAAACUGAGUUGACUACGUUGUCAUGGUUUUUGUUUGUUGUUUUGUUAUGUGAUAUUCGUUAUAAUUUUGGGAAAUCUAAUAAUUUUUUUUAAAAAAACAACAACCCUGAGUUGACUACUACCCAAUAGCCUUUAGCAGGCCUGAAUUCUGUGGCUUUGCCUAAUUUAGCAGCUGAUCACAUUGGGAAUUUAAAACAAUCCACAGGCCGUCACAAUUUGGGGCUGCUUUUGAAAGGCCUGCGUUUUGCCAGUGCCUCUGCUGUGCCUUUUUGAAUUCUGGGGUCAUCCCUACAACGUUGACCUCGGGGAGGGGGGGGCUGUCAUCUUUUUCCGCUGCUCGGUGUUCAUUUCACUUCAGGCUCUUUUGGAAAGUGAUUACCCAGGAGAGAUUUGGUUACACGUUUGGCUCCGGCAAAGGAAACAUCAGUUGCUGGGGCAGCAAGAGAACUUGGCAGUUUUUUUGCAUGGGUUUUGGGUUUCUCCCAUGCCAGGCAGAGCCAGCUUUCCCUGGAUCUGAUGGCUGAACUUUGGAGCUGGUUCCUUUGGUUUUCCGCCCUUGCUUUCUUCUCAAGAGGUAUGUUUAAUUUUUCUUAAUGUGUUCAUUCUCUCCUUCAUCACUGUCACCUAAAUUGCUGCAUACGCACCAUACAAUUAAAGCACACACCCCCCCCCAAAUCCUGGGAGCUGUAAUUUACCCAUAGUAAAGCUGUAGUUUCCAUCACCCUUAACAAACUACAAUUCCCAGGAUGGGGAAGAGUUGUAGUGUGCUGUAAAUAUAUGGUGUGUACAUGCAGUCUUUGUUUUUGUUUUUCUAAAAAGAAGAUUUGAGGGAACAUUCUGUCCUCCGUUCCUUAAGCUUGGACAAGACCCUGAGUCGAGAAUCUUUUACACGGCUUGUUGGCAUUUUUGAUGGUGGUGGUUGUUUUAAAAAUAGAGAUUUUUAAAAAAAUAAUUCAGAAGAGAAAAGUAGUGCAUACUCAUUAAUCAUAAAGUUUAAAAAUAAGACUUCGCUAAGGGGAACGAUGAAUACAGUUUUAAAUCAUAAUUCAAGAAGGAAAUAAAAAUCACCCAUCUUUUGGCAAAUUUGUUUUCAUUCAAUGCAUUUUCUCUUGUUCAGUAUGUUUAAAUAGUGAGAUGCUUCUGUUGUCCCUGCCCCUUCCUUACAUGGUAUGGAUAAGCCCACCAUGUCUUAAAAGUGCAUUUCCCCCUACACCCCCCCCAAAAAAGCCUGGGAACUGUAGUUUGUUAAGGGUGCUUGCAAUUAUGACUCAGGGGUUACACUUCCCAGGAUUCUUUGGGUGGGGUGUGCUUUAAAUGCCCUUUAAAUGUAUGGUGUAAAUAUAGCAUUAAUUUCUGUGCAUGCUUAGUAAAUUUCUGGCAGUGGAACAAUCCUGCCCCUUUUUGCUCUGCUCUCUUCUGUUUGCAUGUUUGAAAGAAAAGUCCAUUUCUGAAAGAACAAUCUGGCCCAUGCUGCCGGCAUCAAACAUCUCCACCAUUUGUCGGGCUGCUUGCCUAAUAAGCAAAUAAUGAAUACAUGUGCCGAGAGUCAAGUCCUCCAAAAGGCAUAGCACCAGGCACAGUUACAAAGGGAUUGUGGGCCAGACCUUCGUUGGAUUGAAACUAAUGGGCUCUCACUGGCUGAGCUCUGGAAAUGAUGUCGGGACACAGAAAAGAAGCAUUUUAGUGUCAAGUGCUCACACUAAAAUCUUUAGACCUUGGGUUCAGGAAGCCCAUUUCCUAAUACAAACUGUUGAUUCGUGAAUUCCACUCUUUCAAAAAGGGUGUUUGUUUGUUUUUGUUACAAAGGAGCUUGUAGUAUGAUCUUCAUUUUGCCCAAAGGGAACUGUCCAGUAUACCUGAAGGAGCGUCUCCACCCCUAUCACUCUGCCCGGACACUGAGGUCCAGUGCCGAGGGCCUUCUGGCGGU